UGAGGAAUAUUGGUCAAUGGGCGAGAGCCUGAACCAGCCAAGUAGCGUGCAGGAUGACGGCCCUAUGGGUUGUAAACUGCUUUUAUAUGGGAAUAAAGUGAGGGACGUGUCCCUUAUUGCAUGUACCAUACGAAUAAGGACCGGCUAAUUCCGUGCCAGCAGCCGCGGUAAUACGGAAGGUCCAGGCUUUAUCCGGAUUUAUUGGGUUUAAAGGGAGCGUAGGCUGUUUGUUAAGCGUGUUGUGAAAUGUAAGAGCUCAACUUUUAGAUUGCAGCGCGAACUGGCAGACUUGAGUGCGCACAACGUAGGCGGAAUUCAUGGUGUAGCGGUGAAAUGCUUAGAUAUCAUGACGAACUCCGAUUGCGAAGGCAGCUUACGGGAGCGCAACUGACGCUAAAGCUCGAAGGUGCGGGUAUCGAACAGG
rnacentral:rRNA from 1 species